rnacentral:rRNA from 1 species
UUUGCUGGCGACCGGCGCACGGGUGAGUAACACGUAUCCAACCUGCCCUUUACUCGGGGAUAGCCCUUCGAAAGAAAGAUUAAUACCCGAUGGCAUAAUGAUUCCGCAUGGUUUCAUUAUUAAAGGAUUCCGGUAAAGGAUGGGGAUGCGUUCCAUUAGGUUGUUGGUGAGGUAACGGCUCACCAAGCCUUCGAUGGAUAGGGGUUCUGAGAGGAAGGUCCCCCACAUUGGAACUGAGACACGGUCCAAACUCCUACGGGAGGCAGCAUG